rnacentral:rRNA from 11 species
GAAGAGUUUGAUCAUGGCUCAGAUUGAACGCUGGCGGCAGGCCUAACACAUGCAAGUCGAGCGAGAAAGGUCUUCGGACUGAGUACAGCGGCGGACGGGUGAGUAACGCGUAGGAAUCUACCCAGUAGUGGGGGAUAGCCCGGGGAAACUCGGAUUAAUACCGCAUACGCCCCACGGGGGAAAGCAGGGGAUCUUCGGACCUUGCACUAUUGGAUGAGCCUAAGUCAGAUUAGCUUGUUGGUGGGGUAAUGGCCUACCAAGGCGGCGAUCUGUAGCUGGUCUGAGAGGACGAUCA